AUUGAACGCUGGCGGCAGGCUUAACACAUGCAAGUCGAGCGGAAACGGAGGUAGCUUGCUACCAGACGUCGAGCGGCGAACGGGUGAGUAACGCGUAGGAAUCUACCUAGUAGAGGGGGAUAGCCCGGGGAAACUCGGAUUAAUACCGCAUACGCCCUAAGGGGGAAAGCAGGGGAUCUUCGGACCUUGCGCUAUUAGAUGAGCCUGCGUCGGAUUAGCUAGUUGGUAAGGUAAAGGCUUACCAAGGCGACGAUCCGUAGCUGGUCUGAGAGGAUGAUCAGCCACACUGGAACUGAGACACGGUCCAGACUCCUACGGGAGGCAGCAGUGGGGAAUAUUGGACAAUGGGGGCAACCCUGAUCCAGCCAUGCCGCGUGUGUGAAGAAGGCCUCGGUUGUAA
rnacentral:rRNA from 1 species